rnacentral:rRNA from 1 species
ACAAGCGUGGAUGAUGUGGUUUAAUUCGAUGCAACGCGAAAACCUUACCCACCUUUGACAUGUACGAAUCCUUUAGAGAUAGAGGAGUGCUCGAAAGAGAGCCGUAACACAGGUGCUGCAUGGCUGUCGUCAGCUCGUGUCGUGAGAUGUUGGGUUAAGUCCCGCAACGAGCGCAACCCUUGUCAUUAGUUGCCAUCAUUUGGUUGGGCACUCUAAUGAGACUGCCGGUGACAAACCGGAGGAAGGUGGGGAUGACGUCAAGUCCUCAUGGCCCUUAUGGGUAGGGCUUCACACGUCAUACAAUGGUCGGUACAGAGGGUUGCCAACCCGCGAGGGGGAGCUAAUCCCACAAAGCCGAUCGUAGUCCGGAUCGCAGUCUGCAACUCGACUGCGUGAAGUCGGAAUCGCUAGUAAUCGUGGAUCAGCAUGUCACGGUGAAUACGUUCCCGGGUCUU